CCUACGGGAGGCAGCAGUGGGGAAUUUUGGACAAUGGGCGCAAGCCUGAUCCAGCAAUGCCGCGUGAGUGAAGAAGGCCUUCGGGUUGUAAAGCUCUUUUGUCAGGGAAGAAACGGCUGAGGUUAAUACCUUUGGCUAAUGACGGUACCUGAAGAAUAAGCACCGGCUAACUACGUGCCAGCAGCCGCGGUAAUACGUAGGGUGCAAGCGUUAAUCGGAAUUACUGGGCGUAAAGCGUGCGCAGGCGGUUUUGUAAGUCUGACGUGAAAUCCCCGGGCUCAACCUGGGAAUUGCGUUGGAGACUGCAAGGCUGGAGUCUGGCAGAGGGGGGUAGAAUUCCACGUGUAGCAGUGAAAUGCGUAGAGAUGUGGAGGAACACCGAUGGCGAAGGCAGCCCCCUGGGUCAAGACUGACGCUCAUGCACGAAAGCGUGGGGAGCAAACAGGAUUAGAUACCCUGGUAGUCCACGCCCUAAACGAUGUCUACUAGUUGUCGGGUCUUAAUUGACUUGGUAACGCAGCUAACGCGUGAAGUAGACCGCCUGGGGAUCGGUCGCAAGNUUAAAACUUAAUGAAUUGAGCUGAAGCCGNGACGAGACGACGACGAGGAGAGG
rnacentral:rRNA from 1 species